UCCCGUGUGGCUCAGUUGGUAGAGCAUGGUGUUUGCAACGCCAGGGUUGUGGGUUCGAUUCCCACGGGGGGAA
rnacentral:tRNA from 1 species